rnacentral:rRNA from 1 species
GAUGAACGCUGGCGGCGUGCCUAAUACAUGCAAGUCGAGCGAAUGGAUUAAGAGCUUGCUCUUAUGAAGUUAGCGGCGGACGGGUGAGUAACACGUGGGUAACCUGCCCAUAAGACUGGGAUAACUCCGGGAAACCGGGGCUAAUACCGGAUAACAUUUUGAACCGCAUGGUUCGAAAUUGAAAGGCGGCUUCGGCUGUCACUUAUGGAUGGACCCGCGUCGCAUUAGCUAGUUGGUGAGGUAACGGCUCACCAAGGCAACGAUGCGUAGCCGACCUGAAGGGGUGAUCGGCCACACUGGGACUGAGACACGGCCCAGACUCCUACGGGAGGCAGCAGUAGGGAAUCCUCCGCAAUGGACGAAAGUCUGACGGAGCAACGCCGCGUGAGUGAUGAAGGCUUUCGGGUCGUAAAACUCUGUUGUUAGGGAAGAACAAGUGCUAGUUGAAUAAGCUGGCACCUUGACGGUACCUAACCAGAAAGCCACGGCUAACUACGUGCCAGCCGCCGCAGUAA